GGCAGUCACUCCCUCUGGUCAUUUUCAGGCUGGGCAGCCCCUGCCUUCCCAGGCUCUCUCUGGCCCUGUGCAUGGAUAGAGCACAUGGGACAGACAGGGCUGUUGGGGACAGGGCAGCUGGCUGAGCCUUCCCAGGACGUGAUGCCCCUCCCUGGCUGUUUCCUGAAAGCACCUUCUUUGCCCAGGUGUGGCCUGCACCAUGACCUUCUCGCAGAGCCGUCACCUCUGAGCCAGGCUCCAGUUCCUUCCUGGAAUCCCACCUGGGGCUUGGACCUUUGGAGCAGUGUUUUCAUCCAUCACUAGUUUGCUGUGUGACCUCAGGCAACCUAGACAGAACCUCUGGUCUGCUUGGUAGAAGAACUGAGUGGAGGGCCGAGACAAAGGCAAAGGGGAGAGGCCAUCGCAGGGAUCAAAGAGCAUUCAGGCUCCCAGCACUCCACCCUCAGGGACAUGGCCGCGGGGGCAGCAGGAGAAGUCCCAUGAAGUCAGCCUCUGCAUGGGACACCGAGGGCCCGCAGCCUUGCUGCACAGAGACGACUCCUCUCCGGCUCUCCAGGGCCUGGCCUUGUCCUUUCCUUUUAUCCUAAGGACCCUUCUCUCCUUUGGUGAUACAUCAGCUCCACGCAGAGCGCUGUGGGCUCCCCACUGUGACUCCAGGACUCGGGGCUCAGUAGCUGCUGGAAAACACAAAUUGAGACAGAGACCAAGAGGGCAGUGCCUCCGUCACACUUGGACAGAGGGGCCCAGAGUGCGGGGAAGUGGCUGGGCCCCACUGGAGAUGCGCCCCCCGGGGAAAGGAGACAUACCUCACAUCCACCAAGGAGGCAGCCAGAUGAUACGGUGGGGGCUCAGCUGAACCAGGGCCUGGGGACAGUCUGCAUGCUCACCACACGGGUGACGGGUGGCUCGCUGGCUUCCUGUCCCUGGCAGCCUGGUUCCAUGAGACUCAGGCAGAAGUGGACAAGCAGGUGGGCGUGGAGUCAAGGCUGGGAAGCCCCCAGAGCAUCAGGGCAGAAGUGGGGGGGCACCGAGGAAGACGACAGGCACAUCUCCCCCCAGCCUGGCCCCUCGUUCUCCCUGAGGCCCCAGGCCCCUAGUCUGAACUUCCAGGUUGCCAUGCCAUGCUUGGGGGCUUUCCAUCAUUUUUCUACCACUGACUCCUGAGUUUGGGUGGGUCCCGGUGAGAUCUGGCCCUUGUAAUUAAUGAAAUAGCAAAAUGACAACAGCUACAGUUGGUCUUUCUCUUUUUCUUGACUCACACAUUUCUGAGGACAGGGAGGGGCAUUUGGGGUAUUUGCAGAGUGCAUGGUGGGUGUCGUGGGUGUUGGCUGGGCCCCUCUCACCCAGGGAGUGGGGCAGGGCAGGACGGGUCAGUCUCAAAAGCAGGAGGCCUCUGCACCUCCAUGGUCACCUGUCUUGGGCCGACCUCCACUUCUCUCCCGGCUUUUCUAGCUCUUCUACCAGGGAUGGCCGAGGAGCUCACGGAUCUUGUCACCCAUUCUGUGGACGGGGCAGGAGGGUCCUCUGAACUCCACACGCUCCAGGCUGCUGUGAGCCAGGUGUGGGUCACCGAGCCCGGGGCCGGAGACGCUCUCUGGCCACACUGCACACCUGCAGCUGCCCUGAGUCCCGCGUGGGGAGGGGGCUGUAGAAUCUGGGCAAUGUGAGAGCAGCCGACAGCACUUCACACCAGCUGUGGUGGCCAAGUGACUUCCAUGUGACUCCUCCAGGUCUAAAGAAAAAAAGUAUUCAGGGGUGGCGGGGGUUGGGGCAUCCAGAUCCUGUCUCCAAACUCUGGGCCUGAGAAGCUGGGCAGGCAACACCCAGAGACCAAAUUCAGUGGUCAAAGCCGAUCAUCAAUAGUCACCUCCUUGGUCUUCCAGGGACCAUAAGACAAAGGCAGAAUAAUUGUAACAAUCAUGGUGACAGAUUGCAACUGGGGGGUACAGUGUGACAAGCUGAGCACGGGGCAGGUGUCACCCAUUCAGCCAUCACGAAAAACCUCAUGAAUUAGGAGUGCUGUGAAUUCAAGGCCGUCCCAGGCAACAUAGCAAGACCUUUUUAAAAACAAACAACCCCCUCCCCCGGGAUACCUGUCACCCCCAGGAACCCUGAGGCUGAAGCCCCAGAGACCAGCCGGCGGUGGUGCAGGUGGGAGUUGAUCUUGGCGUAUCAUUCAGACCCCCAGAGCCGGAUUCCAUUCCUGGGAACUCACCUACCAGCUCCCCUGGCCACGGGGCCCCAAGGCGUUCUCCAUCAGAACAGGAAACUCCCAGCCACACGAGCUCAGGGCGCUGGCGCCCACAGAUUACCUGUGUCAUCCAGUAGCAGUCUGAGGUGCUGAAGGAAGGUCCCCACCUGUGAGUGGCAACCUUGGCAGGGAGCCAAAGCCGGGGCUUCUGCUGCAGGAAGAGGGGAGGAAGCCAGUGGGAGCCUGAACUCCAGGUUCUGCGGAGCCCCCCUGGUGGCCAUGCAACCCUACUGUUGCCUCGAGCUGUCAUGACAAAGUCCCACAGAUUAGGUGAUUUAAACACCAGGAAUUCCUUGUCUCCCAGUUCUAGUGGCUGAAGUCAGAGACCAAGGCCUGGGAACUGUCCCCUCCCCCUCAGCUGCUGGACUUUGUGUUCCUGGACUCCUGGGUCUCUAAUCUCAGCCUUCGCCCCCACAUGGGGGUCCCCUGUGUGUGCCGGGAAUUGAACCCAGGUCCUGCAACUGCUAGGCAAGCUCUGUACCACUGAGAGCUGCUGUGUGGGAGCACCGCCGGGAGGAGCAUCACCUGCAGGAACCGUAGCACCCAGCUCAUUGUUGGCACCCUGGAAACAACGGCUGUAACUCCCCUGUUGUUCCUAGAAUGAACUUGGCCUAAGGCAUGGAGUACCUGCAUGGACACCUGAAGAGCGGGGAAGUGCCAGCACUGGGGACAUGAGGGCUCGCCUGGUCUUCUGGGAGGCCUUUGACAGGCGACCCUGGUCCUUGUCCGGGCUCCAGCAGGGCUUGGACUGGCCUUAGCCCCUCUGGGCGAGGCACUUGGAGGCCCCCUUCCAGAUUUGCUCCCGUGUUCGGCUUGGGGCUUCUCAACUCCGGCACUAACGAUGCCUGGGCUGGGUUGGGUGCUCCUGAGCGUGAUGGGGUGUUGAGCUGCCCCUGGGCAUCUGCCCAUGGGAUGUAGGUAGCCCCCCUCCCUGGUGGCAACAGGAGAUAACACAUUGGACAUCACCAAAUGUGUCUGGAGGGACAAAACCACUCUCUGGGGUUGCAGGGUGCCUUGGGAAGGGUCCCCAGGAUGCUGAGCCUUCCCGACAAUCACGGUUGAAUUCUGUCUACUCCCUGCUGGCUUCUCUCUGGCCGCCCACACACUGAUCCCUUGGAGAACAGAAGAAAUCGUCUGGAAAUGAGGGCCCCGGACGGCAUUUGAGGCAGGAGAACGUCACCACGGUGGACUUGCCCCACGUGCGGCCAACCCUCCGUCCCUCUCCUGCUGCUGCAAGCCUGGCUUCCUAGGGUCACCUCAAGGUGGCCUGGGCUUGGCUGUAAACAGGCAGCAGGAAGUUCCGAGUGUGUGGGGCGGAGGCCCUGGACUCCUGGCUUGCGGCAGCUGCAGACCCGGCGCUGACAGCCCCAACUUAUCAGGGCUGGAGGCCCAGGCUCCAGAUCCGCAGCUUGUGGGGUUUAUCAGCUGCUAGAGUGACAGAGCUUGCAGCAAUCCUGCUGCCACUGUGGGUGCUGACAGCCAGGAGCUGGGUGGCAGAAGCAGCUUCCCAUGGCCUCCCGAGCCCAGGCACAAGGCGAGGCAGGAGGGGUUUAAAGGAAGUCACCGUGUGGGGACGAGAGAGAAAGAGAGGAGUGGAGGGCUUGCUUUCUCUCCACCCAGGGACACCAUCACUGAGCCACCUCCCCAGCCCUUUUUACUUUUUGAGACAGGGUCUUGCUGAGUUGCUUAGGACUUCACUCAAUUUGCUGAGGCUGGCCUUGAACUUGCAACCUCCUGUCUCAGCCUCCCAAGCUACAGCAGCUACAGUCAUGAGCCACCACGUCCUGCUUAUAACAGUCAAAUUUAUUUCUUCCUUCCCCUAUCUGCCCCCCACCCUCCGCCUUUCUUUCUUCCCUUCUGUCUCUGCAGCAUUAGAGAUUGGACGCAGUCUGGCACGUGACGACCAGCGCUCUACGGCUGAGCUACCUCCCUAGCCUCGAAUCACUUUAAAAGGGGUGAGGAUUUUUCCCACCGCCUGACCUGUCUGGGUAACCAUCCUCUUGCCCCUUGUGGCUAACACAUUUUCAAGCAUUUUGUGGCUUAAAAACAAUACAAAAUUAUCUUACAGUUCCAGACCAGAAGUGUGGGUCAGCACCACUGGGCUCAAUCAGACAGGAAGGGCCUUGCUCCCUCCUGGGGCUCCAGGGGAGUGUCCUUUCUGUCUCUUCCAGUGUCUGGGGCUGCAGGUGGCCUUGGCUGGUGGCUGCGUCACGUCCAUUCCUGCUUCAGUUGCUUCCCACUGCCCUUUGGCUGCCCUGUGUAGGGCUAGCUCCUCUGCCUCCUCUCGUGGGGACGCUUUUGCAUGAGGAGUUCCCCCGGGUGAUCCAGGACAAUCUCCCCAUCUUGAAUCCUUCAUGAAGGAUCUUAGUGAAGCAUCUUAAUUCUGCCACCUUAUCUGGCAAAGACCUUUUGUUCCUCAGGUACAGUGACAUUCGCAGGCUGCAGGGAUUCAGGUGAGGCAUCUUCUGGGGCCUUUAAUCCGCCCACUCUGCACCCCAUCUCGGCGCCCUGGCCUUCCAAGGCUCCUCAGCCUGCCCUUUGCUCUGGCUCCUUCUCCUUCCUUGGGACUCAAUUAAAAUGUCACCUCUGUGGAAAGAGCUUCUGGCCCAUUCCAACGCGAGGUGGCCUUUCCUGUUCCCGCCUGAGCCUGGCCGGCAGCAGUUGCACAACACCCCGCGUUGGUGAAAGAGGACUAGAAGUCCCGGCUGAACGCCGAUGGCCGGAGGGGAUGGAGGGGACGCUGGGAUUCCCACACCUGGAACAUUCCCUGAGCCCUUCCCUGCCUUUGUUCUCUGCAUCUGGACAGAGUCAGCCCCGGGCACUGAGAUGCAGACAAGGACUGUCCAGGCUGGACGGAGCCUGUGGUAUAUCUGCGCUGGCCCCUAGGCCUUUCCCCCACCAAAGCCUGGGCAGGGGUGUGGGCAGCUGCACUUAUGUCCACGGCAGGCCAGGGACAGGAGAGGUCACCGAAGGGCCCUGUCUGGCAGCAGUCACCAGCAGAAGGCCACCUUCCUGAUACAUUCGGGAACCCCUUGGGGACAGAGUGGUGGGUGAGAGCAGAGACUGGCAUUGGCCUGACUGGCCACCACCACCUCCUGGUGUGUGUUGGGGGGCACCCAGUGUGAUUAAAUAAGAGCCUCUGUCAGGGCACUGAUGGGCCCAGGCUCUGCUCCCGAGGUCAAAGGAAGCAGGCCGGCCAACCCCGUGUGCUCCCUGCAGUCACCUUGGAGUGUUUCCCGGGCCUGGGGGGGGGGGCUCUGGGUGUCUGUGUGACACAGGAAGG